ACAAAGACUCAAAAUUUUAUAUUGUUUGAAUGCAAUCACACUCGUUUCUCCAACUACAUUGCUACCAUCACUGAAGUCCUCAUCACUAACGAUGCCUAGACUCCGAUUCUCUCUUUUCUUCUCUGAAAUAUUCUUGUGUAUUUCAAAUUCGGAGCCAAAAUCUGGUCAAAGAGAAACAACAACCCGAAAUUCAACCCGAUCGACCAGCUAUUGAUGAGAGGUCUUUAAAGAUUGUUGUCUUCUUCGCUUCACAGUGAAGAAAUGCAUAGUCGGAGACUGAAUCACCGGCUAUCUGGUUAGACUUUCAGAUCUCAAGUUUCGGUUCUCAUGCUAGCCAUGUCGACACCAUGGCAUCGAUUUACGUCUCUGGCCGGUGAGUUCUCGCUCUGUUUCGUGUUGUGAAUUGAUUUUCGUUUCUUACCUGUAAUAGUGUUUAUGGUGUGGUUAAUUUUGUUGAUUUAGGUUUUUGUUUUGUGAUGCUUUGAUUUUGAUUAUAAUUGAUCUAUUUUUUUUCAAAAAAAAUUGUUUUUAUGGAAAUCUGUUUUAGGUAGGCUACGGCUGGAUUAUGAGAAUGGGGCUUAUUUGAUUAAACAGCUGGAUAGGAGAACUAGUCAGGGAACAACACAAGAAGUUAGCAGCCCUUGAGAUGGAGCUAGUGGCAGCACAGCAAGAAGAUUUUGCCUCAAAGAACUUGUUAGAAAAUAAGGGGACUCCUCCCAAGAAAAGGCUUUUAGCUGUUGUUGGAAUUAUUACAAAGUUUGGCCACAAGAACAAUAGAGAUGCAAGCUGUAGGGGCAUGGAUGCCAACUGGUAGAAUGGCCUUCUUUUUAUAAGUUUCGCUCUUUAUUUUUUGUAUGAUUUACAUAGAGAAUGACCCAGUUGGCACUUAACACAUUGACAUUUCUGUUAUAAGCAUAUAAGGGAUAAAAAUAGGAGGCUCGUAGGCUGAACUCUUAUUAACAUGAAAACUUUUAGUGAACUUCCAUUUCUCAUCUAUUCUUUUUUCAUUGUCUUGUUUAUUUUCUCAGUUUGCAAUGGUCAUUUUCAAUAGUUUGCGAACUCCAUCAACCAAUUUGAAAAGCCUUGGAGCUAACAAGUCCAAAUUAUGAGAAACUAAAAUCUCGUUUCUCUAGGAUUUUUCUAAAGUUGCUCAAAUGAAUGGAAAGCAGAAAACUAUCAAGAGGCCCUACCGCUGCCUUGCACCCUCUAUACCCCUAUUUACAAAAAAUUGGAGUUUGUCUUUAAUGUAAUAAGGGAAACAAUAGUUUGCAUAAUAAUGGAACAUGAAGUAAUAUUGUGAUUCACUAUUGCAAAAAGUAACAUUGACAUAACUUAUGUGCUAAAUUACACUUACAUGCUUAGCACAAAAGUAUGUUAUUCUUCAUUUGAGAGCAUUACUUUAAACCUUAUAUGUUAGCAUCACUUUUUCCAUAACUAAUCUUUCUUUCUUUCUCCUUAUCCAAGACAAUGCAUAUCGAGUGAUUGAUACUUAAGUUAAUAGCCUUAGCACCCACAUGAAGUGAAGUUUGAAUCCAGAAUUUCCUAAUAGUCUUAAUACGCUUCCUUAAGUGUGUUCAAACUUAAGACGUCAAUGUUAAACCACCACUUUACCCAAAACUUUUAAGUUACGUAGUAAUAGUCCAGCAAUGGGAUAUUAAGGUGACUGACAGGUAGGUUAAUAGCUUGAGCAAUUCUCUUAUAAUGUUUAAUGGUUUAAAUGUUGACAAUUAAAACACUUACAAAAGCAUGAUGACUUACCCAUCGUUUUCAUACAGAUACUCUAGAAGCAACUCUUGCUACUCAUUUGAAUAAGCCUCGAGUUUAUAUUGGGUGUAUGAAAUCAGGCGAAGUUUUCUCAAAAGUUGAGUAUAAUCAAAGUUUUUUUUUCUCUAAUGAUGAGAAAACGAGUUGUUUAUGAUAUUCUACUUUCAUAUAUUGUACUAUCUUUUCAUAUUUUCUGAAUUAUGUAGGAUCCACAAGUGGUAAGAACCAGACUGGUAGAAAUUUGGUGAUGGAAAAUCAUGAGUACUUCUGUGUUGAUUUCAUCUUGUCUCUUAUAUUAGGAUAAGUAAUUAUUACUUUCUAGUUCUGUUAACCAGUCAAGAAGUCUCUUAGCAUCUCUGAAUUCAUCUGAUAGGUGAUAGAAGUUCCAAUGAACAACUAGGGCAUUGUCCCAUAAGAGGCUUGCUUGAUAGAGAGAAGUUUUUUAGGCAUUCAAACAAUUUAUCAUUCCAUCAUAUUCUUGUCAUCUAUUACACUUAAUUUGCCUACCCUUGCACCCAUAUUUUAACCAUCUCAACUCUAAUUUGUGUUGAGGUAUCCUAGAGUCUGCAUAGGGAUGCCUUCUCGGGAAGUCAGGCUUACAUUGGUUGAAGAUACAUUUAGCAAAUUUAUAUGCUGGUGGAGUGGACAAGUUAUCAUAUGAGGGUUAGGUAGCAUUUACUGAGAAUCAUUUGGAAGAUAUCUUUGAGUCCGCAGAUAAACCUCUGCAAGGAAGACGUUGGUGAUUGUCUGUCGAGGAUCCUUUUCAAUGCUUGGCAACGUGUAUUAAUCUAUCAGAUGCAUUAAGAAGCUCCCCUCCAGAGACUACCAUUUCACACAUGCCUGUCCACCAGGUACUUCAUUCUUAGCAUGGUCGCAUUCAAACUGAGAAAUGUUUACCAAGUGAAAUCAAAUUAAUCCCACCUCCUCCCUAGUCCACCCAACCCCACAAUAAAAAAGAAAUCUCAAAACUAGCUUUUAGUGGAAUUAUGUUCUAUGCAUAGGCAUAUCAUUUGUUGCCCUGUGUAUUUUGUAUAAACUCCUCCAAGCAUAUAGUUCCUCUGCAUUUACACAUGGAAAAUGACAGUCACAUGAUUGUACAUAUCCUUCAGAGUACCCCAUUUGUUACCCCAUUAUUAGAAGCAAAAAUAAUGGAUCGACCACUUCUUUCAUAGCCCUGUCUUAUGUUUGUGCUAUCCUACUAUAGUACGCUUGAGAGGAUAACAGACAUUUCCCUGACUUUACUUUUGUUUUCAUAUUAAAUGCUUAGAUUCAGGUCAUUUGUUUAUCCAAAGCUUAAUCUAUGAUUGUAUUGUUCUAUCUUUUUCAAGGAUGGCUCUUGCAAUGGCUUACAACACCAUGCUGCCCUUGGAAGGGCCAAGGUAGUGGAAUUUUCUGUUUUUGGUUGAUUGUUGUGGAAUUCUGAUUAUGUGAUAUGGAAGCAUGGUUUUUGAUUAGUUAGACAGUUUUUCACUCUUUUUCUGCUUUGAGGCUAAAUGUGUCUCAGCUUUGAUUUUCUCUCUUUGUUAGGAAAGAUGGUAAAAGGAUAAGGAUUUGGAAAUUGAAACCCAAGAAAGAAACCAAACUCUGUUUGAGUUUAGUGCAGUUUAUUUAAUUUGAUUUUUCAAGUAAUUUCAAAGUUUGGUUGUUUCAAGAAAGGGGAUUAUCAUCGGUAUUUGGCGAGUUCAAAGGCUAGGGCAGCAAAUCAGUCUCUAAAGAGUGAAUUUUAGUUAGACCUUAGUAUUGGAGGAGAUAAAUUUUUAUUUAUUUAUUUAUUUAUUGAAGUUUCCUUGUUUUUUGGCAAUAGAACUUUGUAUUGGGGAUUAUUAUUUGAUUAUGCAGUUUGGAUACAUAUACAUAUUUGGAUUAUGCAA